rnacentral:rRNA from 1 species
AUUGAACGCUGGCGGCAGGCCUAACACAUGCAAGUCGAACGAGUGGCGGACGGGCGAGUAAUGUCUGGGAAACUGCCUGACCGAGGGGGCUAACUACUGGAAACGGUAGCUAAUACUGCAUACUAUCGGAUGUGCCCAGAUGGGAUUAGCUAGUAGGUGGGGUAACGGCUCACCUAGGCGACGAUGCCUAGCUGGUCUGAGAGGAUGACCAGCCACACUGGAACUGAGACACGGUCCAGACUCCUACGGGAGGCAGCAGUGGGGAAUAUUGCACAAUGGACGAAAGCCUGAUGCAGCCAUGCCGCGUGUAUGAAGAAGGCCUUCGGGUUGUAAAGUACUUUCAGCGGGGAGGCGUUACCCGCAGAGGAAGCACCGGCUAACUCCGUGCCAGCAGCCGCGGUAAUAC